ensembl:lncRNA
GAGCAGGCUCUGGAGGCAGCAAAGGGGAGAUAGUUUGUGUCUCCCCAUCCUGUCUUUUCAAGCAAUCCAUCCAUCAGAUCAGCAAGAUGGAGCUUUCACUUUUAACAAGAUCUCUUCAAACCGAGCUGCUGGGAGCUGCGAGUGUGGAUGUUCUGUUCGGGACUUUCUGUGGAGCUGCUGCUACAAACAGCAUAAAAAGGAAGGGAAUUAAAGACAAGGGUCAGGACAGUGCAGCACUUCAUAAUGCCUGGAGAAGGGGACCACUGAAAGCAAGACCUAUGAUCCUGUCCAGAAGUCAGCUCUGGCAGGACAAGGAAAGCACAAAGCUGGUGGAGUUUCUCACCUCAUUCCUCCCUCGUCCAAGGACAGUUAAUUCCAUAUGGUUUAAAGCAGGAAAAUUGAACAAGAAGCAAAAAAAGCCCCUUAAUUAAAACCUGAGGGAUUCAGCACAGACUCAGUGCCAC